rnacentral:rRNA from 1 species
GACGAACGCUGGCGGCGUGCUUAACACAUGCAAGUCGAACGGAAAGGCCCUGCUUUUGUGGGGUGCUCGAGUGGCGAACGGGUGAGUAACACGUGAGUAACCUGCCCUUGACUUUGGGAUAACUUCAGGAAACUGGGGCUAAUACCGGAUAGGAGCUCCUGCUGCAUGGUGGGGGUUGGAAAGUUUCGGCGGUUGGGGAUGGACUCGCGGCUUAUCAGCUUGUUGGUGGGGUAGUGGCUUACCAAGGCUUUGACGGGUAGCCGGCCUGAGAGGGUGACCGGCCACAUUGGGAAUGAGAUGCGGCCCAGACUCCUACGGGAGGCAGCAGUGGAGAAUAUUGCACAAUGGGCGGAAGCCUGAUGCAGCAACGCCGCGUGCGGGAUGACGGCCUUCGGGUUGUAAACCGCUUUCGCAUGUGACGAAGCGUGAGUGACGGUAAUGGGUAAAGAAGCACCGGCUAACUACG